CCUACGGGAGGCUGCAGUGGGGAAUAUUGGACAAUGGGCGAAAGCCUGAUCCAGCCAUGCCGCGUGUGUGAAGAAGGCCUUCGGGUUGUAAAGCACUUUCAGUGGGGAAGAAAGCCUUGGGGCUAAUACCCUCGAGGAAGGACAUCACCCACAGAAGAAGCACCGGCUAACUCCGUGCCAGCAGCCGCGGUAAUACGGAGGGUGCGAGCGUUAAUCGGAAUUACUGGGCGUAAAGCGCGCGUAGGCGGUCUGAUAAGCCGGUUGUGAAAGCCCCGGGCUCAACCUGGGAACGGCAUCCGGAACUGUCAGGCUAGAGUGCAGGAGAGGAAGGUAGAAUUCCCGGUGUAGCGGUGAAAUGCGUAGAGAUCGGGAGGAAUACCAGUGGCGAAGGCGGCCUUCUGGACUGACACUGACGCUGAGGUGAGAAAGCGUGGGUAGCAAACAGGAUUAGAUACCCGAGUAGUC
rnacentral:rRNA from 1 species